rnacentral:lncRNA from 1 species
AUUGCAAUUGUUCUUUAUAAAGCUUUUCUAUAAAUAAAAAAAUCUUGCAUGAGCACCUCUUGUGAUAGUUGCCUCCUCUGAGACAUCAGUUGGAUUAGUUUCCAAAUGGAUGACCAUCAUCUUGACGACUUCCUCUUGACUGAUCCUUUUGUAGCCUAGUAAUUUCCCCUUAUGGAAAAAUGCAGGAGGCAUGAGACAUCAUCAAAGUGAUGGUCAUAUCGCCUAUAAGAAGGUGGAAAGACAAAGUCUUUGAAUGCCACAUCUCCACAAUAGCCGUCUAUAUGUCGUGGGACAUGGUCACGACAGCAAAACAUAAAUCGGCAAUACCGGAAUAACGGAGAACAUCCUGAAACCAAGCAGUAGUGGGAUGUCCCAAUUUCAAUAUCUUUCGUCAGUGGUUUAUCGAUUUCAAACAUGUACAAUCUUGUAAAAAUAAAAUAUCACCAUCAGUAUCGAUUUAAUUAGUUGAAAAUAUAUGUAUUGCAAAAGGAAAAAAAAAUAUAACUCUCAUUCCUAAACAUGCCUAGCAGCAUAGUCUGUAUAGAGAUGAAGUAAAGAGGUGUCAAAUGAGACUCUUGGAUAACUAUCUAAUAAGGAAUCGACAAUGGCUUCCUCCGGAGCUUUAGGGGAUUCAACAUCAUCUAGGAACUCAUGGCCCCGUGAAGUGGAUGCACAAGUAGGUCGCUACGAGAAAUAAAACCAGGUGAUAGUGAACCUAGGCAUUGCGAACAAGAUGGUUGCGCACCAUAAAGUGAGUUAUCAUCAACCCACAAUCAACCCACAACCUAGUAGUUCUGGUUGCGGCCCUCUCACGUCAUACCGACGCGGUUUGGGAUACACGUCUGAGCCUAACUCUGCCAGGGUUGGCUUCAGAGUUGUUUUCAGCCAUUACAUUUACGUUACAAAUCUACAUGGAGAAAAACAACAUGUCAGGACAAAUCCACAAAUUCCACAAAAUCAACCAAAUUUUAGUCUGAGUCAAAUCCAGAAAUGUAUCUUCAGAUAAACCUGCGAUUCUCAGUCGUGACAGAAACGUCAUUGCUCCCUUAACCCUCCAAAAAUAUUUCAAUGCAAAUUCUUGUAGGCUAUCAAUUUCGUUUACACUACUAUCUAAUGCACCUAAAACAACUAAAAUAACUUAAACAACUAACUAUAAAUCAAAACAUAAAUAGAGAUAACAUUUUAAAAACCUUGAAGAAACAACUCCAAUGUGUUAUACCACAAAUUUAUCCAACCCAUUUGUGCACUGCAUUAUUCCUUCUUUUCAUUUUUAUUUCCUCAAUUCAUAAAUCGCUCAUUCCAAGAUCAAAAGAUAACUCUUUCGAUGAUGUUGAUUCAUUAUUUUGCAUCUCUUUCAAUUUAGAUGCGAAGAAAGUCAAAGUCAAUGACUUUAACUUCUUUAAAAAUUCCAUGUGCAAGAGAACUGCUAUUUGUUUUAGUUUUCCUUCAAUUUAUUUUAAAUAUGUGAAUUCAUAUGCAAAUGGGUUAAUGCUUGUAUUAGUUUUCCUUAAAUCUAUUUUAAAAUAUUUGAGGCCAUUUUUAAUUAAGAAUAUGUUGACUCGUGAUUGGACAAAGGAGUAUUUUAAAUAAAUUAGAGACUUCUUCGUCCACAUGUGCAUACAUACAUGUUGAUUCAUCGGUUAAAAGUCAUAAUGUGCUAAAAUUGAUUAACUAUUAUUGGUAACGUUUAGUUUAUUGAAGAAGGCUAUGCAUUUUUUUGACUCAAGGUUUGAAACAUUAGAUAAGAUUUUUUUUAUUUAAUUCAGUUUUCACAUCUCCACUUGGAGCAAAGAAAAAUACAAAAAAAAUCAGAUCCUUUUGUUACAAAUAUAAAAAGAAGGAAAUCAUUUUGCAGCAAUUGUGCCUUCACAUGUUUUUCUUGAAUCCUUUUUUAUGCCAUCAUCAUCAUCUCAUUUCAUAGAAAGAAGAAAGGAGCAGAAUAAGAAAAUCAACAGAAAUUGAAGCGAGAAAAGGGCUCAGAAACAUACAUUGAGGUCGGACGGAAAACUCGCCGGAGCUGCAGUGUUCUUUACCACCUCCCUCUUGUUCUUCAUGUGCCGCCGUGGUGGAUUCUCAUAUUUUCUUUUUUGUUAGUAUUGGAGAGAAAAUGGAGAGGCAGAGAGCGCUUUGCUUAUUCUUAAUGGAAGUGAGGUUGAGGCCCUUUAGGGGACCGAUCACCCGCCGCUUGGUGACACGUGUCCUUGGAUAGGACACUUAGCAUGGCAUGGACUGGUGUAGUCACCAGCUUAGGUGUGAGGCGUCCAUGUGAUCCUUGGGCCUGCGCGUUCUAGAGCGUUAGAUCUGUUUGGACUUUAAUCUAAAGGCCAAGGACGAGCCAACUAGUUGACCUGCGUUUGGUCGCAUUAUCAUAUUUGCUCAUGUCUCUUAUUUGCAACCCCUGCUUUUCUUUAACUGUUUUAAGUAUUUCUUUCAAUUGGGGACUUUUGUGUGGAUCCAUGCUAGAAUUGCACCCUUCUUAUUUUGCCCUCUUGAUUUAAUUAAUUAGUUUUUCUAUUUUAAUUAGUUAAUUUUGUUAAUCAAAUUUAAU